UACCAGCACCCCGAGUGGUCGGGACGAUUAUUGGGCCUAAAGCAUCCGUAGCCGGUUUUACAAGUCCUCCGUUAAAUCCACCUGCUUAACAGAUGGGCUGCGGAGGAUACUAUGGAGCUAGGAGGCGGGAGAGGCAAGCGGUACUUAGUGGGUAGGGGUAAAAUCCGUUGAUCCAUUGAAGACCACCAGUGGCGAAGGCGGCUUGCCAGAGCGCACUCGACGGUGAGGGAUGAAAGCUGGGGGAGCAAACCGG
rnacentral:rRNA from 1 species